AGCCUCACCUUGAGCUGUGUCUGGCACUGUCUUUAGCUCAGUGUCGCUGCUGCCUUCGGGUUUAGCAAAAUUCACCGUGCCCGCGAGUUCAUCACCCAAAUUGAUAACACACUAUGCUUCGCCACCCUCUUGCGCUUGUGUAACCACAACCCAGCCGCAUGUCUUCACCCGAGCCCCCUGAGAGGCGUCUUGCCCUACUGUUCAUCGCCGCGCUAUCCAAUUUCCGCCUCAUCGUGGCUAGGUUUGUUUGACAUUGUUCGAUGCCUCUAAUCCCGUGUUCCAGUCUCCCGUGGGUGUAAUGUAGCUCAUGCAUCUGCCUGUUUAAACUCUACUACUCUAGGUCAUCCAGAACGUGGCCACGACGUCGUCACUCAUCUUCAUGGGUCGCCUCAUCGUCAGCCGGUCUAUCCCCGCUUUCUCCAGUCUGAUCUGCGUAAGCGUCAUGGUGUGGGUGAGUUGCUGGUGCUUAUAUGCCUUAAAUUUGAGCUCUGGUGUGCCCUCGCAUUAGAUUCGAGCUCGCCGGACAUCGAGUUUCGCUGUGGCCAUGGCCAUCCGGGGUUCUAUGGUGUUUUUGUGCGUUGUUGGGUACCGACGUGUUCGCCGAGCGUUGGGGAGCACAAUGGUGCUCUUACCCAGGAUGGAGAAGGCUCCGGCAGGGACAGUUGUUGACUCGCCGGCGUUCGGUUCGUCCGGAGUCGUGGAUGAAGCAUUGUAAAUAGGAGGAGAAGAAAGGGUUUAAGUGAGAACGUCAGCCACUCAGUGAAACAGUGGAUCAGGCUUAGAUUCAUUUUGGCGUUGUGGCAGGGGACUUUGCGCAAAAAAAGUAGGUGCUAGCGCGCGUGUAGCCAGCCAUGGGCCGGCUUUGUCCUCUUGCGUGGCCGAGUGGCGAGAUUGGGCCUGAUAUUGUUCCCAGUUUUGGUUUUUUCCUUUUCUGGAGAACUUGAGAAUAGUGCCAAAAAUAGUAGAAAUUUCCAACAAUCAUGGGACAAAUUUUGUUGGAUGUCUAAAAUCAAGAGCUCUCUGGUAAAGUUGGUUUUAGGAUUUUUAGAUCAGUUAGCAAAGUUUAAGUAAAUUUAAGGUGCUCUUUGAAGGACUGUAUUAAUUUUAGAAAUAAGAAUAAAGAACCAAAAGUCAUGAAAAUUUUUGGAGAACCUUUUUAUUAGCCGUUGAACACUUGGUAAAGGUUUGGGGCUGUUUGGAAGCUUUUUGCUCUAGAAACCCUUUAAGCCCCAAAAUAGAGUGGUUAAUCCCUAAUCAAGUGUGGGUUAGUGCUUUGGAAAGGAGAUAAGUUUAUCUAGGGAAGAGAUGUAGUUGCUUAAGAAGUUUUAAGCUUUUGGAUGAGAUCUAAGAUGUAUUAGUUCUCUGGUUUGCCUAUGUGAAUACGAUUUGGCCACUUUUAGCAAGUGUUGGUGCUGUAGAACCAUGUGUAUUCUUGUCAUGUGUUUAUUUAGGAGUGUUUAUGUUCCCCACCUCUCCUUGUGAGAGUUUGCAUUUCAUAUCAUUACAUCAUCAUACAUGUAUCUCUAUUUGACUUGUAGAACACCUAGAAGAAGUGGUGUUUAAAGGUGGAGCCUUGUCACACACGGUUCUGGGAGGCAAAACCGAAUGCAUAGCAUAUGUGGACCAGGACCUAUUUUCCACAUAUAUGUUGACGUCACAAGUGUAAUAUAUCAAAAGACAAUGCAAUAAAGGUGUAAAGAGAGUAGAGUAACUUUAUUACAUCAUCUGGAUCAUUGUAUCUUAACAAGUAUCACAAUCAAAGUACGGCGGAACUAAACAUGGACACUCUUCCACAGAAAGGUGACUGGCGCAUCGUUAGACUUAAAACUCAUCAACGUCAUCUGCGAAGUCUUCGUCAUCACCCUCUAAUCAAAAUAUUAGCAAGGGUGAGCUCACUUAUGGUCGGGGCUCAGCAAGU
rnacentral:lncRNA from 1 species